rnacentral:misc_RNA from 1 species
AAAUGCGAUAAGUAAUGUGAAUUGCAGAAUUCAGUGAAUCAUCGAAUCUUUGAACGCACCUUGCGCUCCUUGGUAUUCCUUGGAGCAUGCCUGUUUGAGUAUCAUGAAAUCUUCAAAGUAAAUCUUUUGUUAACUCAAUUGGUUUCUACUUUGGUAUUGGAGGUCUUUGCAGCUUCACACCUGCUCCCCUUUGUUCAUUAGCUGGAUCUCAGUGUUAUGCUUGGUUCCACUCGGCGUGAUAAGUUAUCUAUCGCUGAGGACACUGUAAAAGGUGGCCAAGGUAAAUGCAGAUGAACCGCUUCUAAUAGUCCAUUGACUUGGACAAUACUUUUAUGAUCUGAUCUCAAAUCAGGUAGGACUACCCGCUGAACUUAAGC